AACAGAAAGGCAACUCUUCCUUUGAAUUAAGCCAGUCUCCAGAAGAGCAAGAGCAAGGAACACUUCUGUUUGCAGAAUCAGAGGCAAAUGCGGAAGGCCAUCAGAUGCUUACC